rfam:Salmo salar isolate Sally breed double haploid chromosome ssa03, whole genome shotgun sequence.
UGUAUUCACUACUGUAAGUCGCUCUGGAUAAGAGCGUCUGCUAAUUGACUAAAA